rnacentral:rRNA from 1 species
AUUGAACGCUGGCGGAAGGCCUAACACAUGCAAGUCGAGCGGAGCGGCGGACGGGUGAGUAAUACCUAGGAAUCUGCCUGGUAGUGGGGGAUAACGUUCGGAAACGGACGCUAAUACCGCAUACUAGCAGAUGAGCCUAGGUCGGAUUAGUUAUUUGGUGAGGUAAUGGCGCACCAAGGCUACGAUCCGUAACUGGUCUGAGAGGAUGAUCAGUCACCUGAGAAAUGAUACACGGUCCAGACUCCGACGUGAGGCAGCAGUGGGGAAUAUUGGACAAUGGGCGAAAGCCUGAUCCAGCCAUGCCGCGUGUGUGAAGAAGGUCUUCGGAUUGUAAAGCACUGUAAGUUGGUAGGCGUUACCGACAGAAUAAGCACCGGCUAACUCUGUGCCAGCAGCCGCGGUAAUUC